GUGACGGUACCUGCAGAAGAAGCGCCGGCUAACUACGUGCCAGCAGCCGCGGUAAUACGUAGGGCGCAAGCGUUAUCCGGAAUUAUUGGGCGUAAAGAGCUCGUAGGCGGUUUGUCGCGUCUGCCGUGAAAGUCCGGGGCUCAACUCCGGAUCUGCGGUGGGUACGGGCAGACUAGAGUGAUGUAGGGGAGACUGGAAUUCCUGGUGUAGCGGUGAAAUGCGCAGAUAUCAGGAGGAACACCGAUGGCGAAGGCAGGUCUCUGGGCAUUAACUGACGCUGAGGAGCGAAAGCAUGGGGAGCGAACAGGAUUAGAUACCCUGGUAGUCCAUGCCGUAAACGUUGGGCACUAGGUGUGGGGGACAUUCCACGUUUUCCGCGCCGUAGCUAACGCAUUAAGUGCCCCGCCUGGGGAGUACGGCCGCAAGGCUAAAACUCAAAGGAAUUGACGGGGGCCCGCACAAGCGGCGGAGCAUGCGGAUUAAUUCGAUGCAACGCGAAGAACCUUACCAAGGCUUGACAUGAACCGGACCGCUGCAGAGAUGUGGUUUCCCCUUUGGGGCUGGUUUACAGGUGGUGCAUGGUUGUCGUCAGCUCGUGUCGUGAGAUGUUGGGUUAAGUCCCGCAACGAGCGCAACCCUCGUUCUAUGUUGCCAGCACGUGAUGGUGGGGACUCAUAGGAGACUGCCGGGGUCAACUCGGAGGAAGGUGGGGACGACGUCAAAUCAUCAUGCCCCUUAUGUCUUGGGCUUCACGCAUGCUACAAUGGCCGGUACAAAGGGUUGCGAUACUGUGAGGUGGAGCUAAUCCCAAAAAGCCGGUCUCAGUUCGGAUUGGGGUCUGCAACUCGACCCCAUGAAGUCGGAGUCGCUAGUAAUCGCAGAUCAGCAACGCUGCGGUGAAUACGUUCCCGGGCCUUGUACACACCGCCCGUCAAGUCACGAAAGUUGGUAACACCCGAAGCCGGUGGCCUAACCCCUUGUGGGAGGGAGCUGUCGAAGGUGGACUG
rnacentral:rRNA from 2 species